UGGGGAAUUUUGGACAAUGGGCGAAAGCCUGAUCCAGCAAUGCCGCGUGUGUGAAGAAGGCCUUCGGGUUGUAAAGCACUUUUGUCCGGAAAGAAAUCCUUGGCUCUAAUACAGUCGGGGGAUGACGGUACCGGAAGAAUAAGCACCGGCUAACUACGUGCCAGCAGCCGCGGUAAUACGUAGGGUGCAAGCGUUAAUCGGAAUUACUGGGCGUAAAGCGUGCGCAGGCGGUUUGCUAAGACCGAUGUGAAAUCCCCGGGCUCAACCUGGGAACUGCAUUGGUGACUGGCAGGCUAGAGUAUGGCAGAGGGGGGUAGAAUUCCACGUGUAGCAGUGAAAUGCGUAGAGAUGUGGAGGAAUACCGAUGGCGAAGGCAGCCCCCUGGGCCAAUACUGACGCUCAUGCACGAAAGCGUGGGGAGCAAACAGGAUUAGAUACCCUGGUAGUCCACGCCCUAAACGAUGUCAACUAGUUGUUGGGGAUUCAUUUCCUUAGUAACGUAGCUAACGCGUGAAGUUGA
rnacentral:rRNA from 1 species